rnacentral:rRNA from 1 species
CCCUUAGAUGUUCUGGGCCGCACGCGUGCUACACUGAGUAAUUCAAUGGGUAAGGGAACGCUAGAGCAUCACCUAAUCUUGAAAUUUGCUCGUGAUGGGGAUCGACGGUUGCAAUUUUCCGUCGUGAACGAGGAAUACCUUGUAGGCGCAUGUCAUCAUCAUGCGCCGAAUACGUCCCUGCCCUUUGUACACACCGCCCGUCGCUCCUACCGAUUGAGUGAUCCGGUGAGGCUCUGGGACCUGGACGGAAAGAGCGUUUCGCUUGUUCUGUUUGGGAAACUUGGUCGAACCUUAUCAUUUAGAGGAAGGAGAAGUCGUAACA